GGGGAGCCCAGUUUGCACCUAGAUUUAAUAUUUUACCAUUUUACACCUAGAUUUAGCUUAAAUUUUUCCAUUAAUUCAUUCAACAAAAUGUACUGUGCUCCUGCUUUGUGACUGCAAAAGGGCCUGUCAUAAUCUCUGUCUCACUGAUAGCCCAGUCCCCUCCCUGGGCCCCCAGCCACCCAUGCAGGGCUGAUGACUGGUGGUGAGAGAAAGCCUCUCUCAGCAGGUGACCUAAAAGGAAAGAGGAAGGAGCCAGCCAUGAUGAUGUGGGGGAAGAGCAGAGGGAACGGCAAGCUCAAAGGCCCUGAGGUCACUCCAGCUGCUAUGUGGAAAAUCAAUUCCAGGGAAACGGAAGCAAGGAAACCGAUUACAUCACGUUCACCACCCGAAUAGUGACUUUUCUUCUGUGGAAGGAGUUCAGGGAACUUACGCCAGUUAAAAAGCAUUUAAUUACUGUUGUCUAACUUCUGUUGCCUCAAAUUCUCUCAGGAAACUUCUUAAAUAGACGGAGUUCCCAAUCUCACACCCCCGAGAUUCUCAUUCUACCAAGCUGAGGAAUCUGCAUUUUGAGAAUCUCCAUUAAUUUCAGCAGACUUCUACUGAGAGCCUACCAGAUGCCAGGCGCUGUGCCACCAGCUGGAGGUGCAAAGAUAGAAGACGCUGCCACUGGCCUCAGUGUUCUGGUGUUGUAGGAGACUGGGCGUGUGGAGAAAUAGGCUACGUUAUGAUGCACUCAGUAAUGGGAGUUUGUAUGAAUUACCUUCUGAGCAAAGAAGCAAAGGCUGUUCAUUGUUCAGACGUUGUCAUGCUUUUCAUCCGUCACGCAACCCUGUUACUUGGCCAAAACUGAACUGACCAGAAGUCUGUAACUUGGCCGAAGGCAACUGUUUUUAGGCUUAACAACGGCUCUGGGGAGUCCUACACUCAUAAUUCUGCCCAACAGAGGAGAUGGCUCCCUGCCCCAGCUGAUGAUCUCUCACAGGCAGUUUCCAGUGUCAGAGACUCGGAAAGCAGAGUAGGACUGGGAUGAGAUAGAGGUGGAGGUGACAGAUGAACUGGUAAGAAGCAGAGGCAGAGAGAGAGAAAGAGAGAGGCUGAGUGGGGAGUAGGGCGAAGUCACAGGGGGAAGAAGCCAAAGGUCCAUUAGGACUCCAUGGAACUGGCCUAUGUAACCCUUAGACUGAUGCCUGAAUGUCCUUCCAGUCACCCACAUCACCUGAGGUCAGCCAAGACUGUCAUCCUGGCAGCAGAAAGAAUCUAAGUCCUGCAGUCCUGAAGUGGUCCGGGGGGAGUGAGGAAGAGAUGCCAGAAGGGGGGGCUCAGCAAAGGCUUCACCAGUAGGUGACGCCCAAGCAGAGUUUUGAGCCAGGAACUGCCAUGAUCCCAGCAUGGAAUCACACUCAAAGAAACAUGGAAUUUUCCUCUUCAUGGUUUUGCAGGUCUAAUUUUUGGCAAGAAGAUCUGAUUCUUUCGUCGAUUUUUGAAGUCAAUAACAAGUUUUGCUGUGUGCAGGUUUGCCUUUGUCAGUUUUCUUUUUGUUAUUUCUACAAAGUGCAAUUUCAACUGGGUCAAUUUUUGUAGUUUUGAGAAUUACCAACACACUGAGAUUCUUCAAUCUGUUUUUUGUCAAUAUCAAAUUUAACAUUUAUAGUUUGG
rnacentral:lncRNA from 1 species